rnacentral:rRNA from 1 species
UCUGAACACGGACCAAGGAGUCUAGCAUGUAUGCAAGUUAUUGGGUUAUUCCAUUGUUAAUAUGGUGCUUGCGCUGUAUGGCAUGGAAUAGAUAUAUGUGAGAAAACCCAAAAGCGAAAUUAACGUGACUGUGUUUUACACACAUGGGAUUACAUUCAUUUAUUAUAUGUUAUUUUUUUAUAUUUGAAUUUCCAUCCCAGGGCGAUUUAUAAUUAAUUUCGAUUAUGAAAUCGUACCUUGAGCAUACAUGGUAGGACCCGAAAGAUGGUGAACUAUGCCUGAUCAGGUUGAAGUCAGGGGAAACCCUGAUGGAGGACCGAAGCAGUUCUGACGUGCAAAUCGA